UAAAAUUUUCCCUUUCUGUAGAGUCUCAAACAACUCUUGAUGAACUUGCAAUAUCCAAAACACAUUGUAUAUCAUAUACUCUCACCAUAAAGCAAAAUUAUUCCCUUUGCAGUAUCAAAUGUUUAUUUGGAGUACUGUUUGCUUAAGUCUAAAACUGUUUUAUGCAGCACGCACCACACAAAGUUAGAAUGGAAGUAUAUAAAUAAAGAACCAAAUUAUAAUGCAAAGAUUGGCUUUGCAAAGUUUAUAGCAACAGCAAUAUUUCAUCCGUUUGAGAUGAAGUGAUUUUUGUUUGAGUUUCAUGAGAAAAGUGAUUUUUGAAGUUUAAAAUCUAGUUAGUAUGGGUUCAACUAGAAACCAAAUUAGUUGAGAAGAACUCUGGUGUCUCACAAUUGAUUCCAAAGGGGCCAAAUACAAAUCAAAGUAUAAAGGAAAAUUCACACUAGAGAGCUUCAGCAUAGUUUGGAUUAAUGUGUAGCCAGUUAAAUUUAUACAUAUAACAUGGUAGAUUGGUAUUUACCCAUAUGUAAAUGGAGGACUCUUCGAUCAAAAAUCAACAAGCAUUAUCUACUCAGAUGUUAAUUCCUACUAACUCACAACUAAUUUGGGUUAAUCAACUCCUAAACAAAAACAAGCAAUGGAACCAACAGCUCAUUCCAGAACAAUUCAGUACAGAUAUUGCACAGAAUAUUUUACAAACUGAAAUUGGGGAAUGGGAUGAUUCAGUUACCUGGCCAAGGGAGAAAAAGGGUUGCUACACCGUGGCUUCAGGAUAUUUACUGGCGCACUAGUUCUGCCACCCUCCACUCGAUCUGAUGCCACUCCACUGCCAGCAGAAGAAGCUCUGGACUUCUAUUUGGGACCUGAAAGUGCAACCGAAAAUAAGAAUCUUCCUCUGGAAAGUAAUGCACAAGGGAUUGCCGGUG
rnacentral:lncRNA from 1 species